GUCUUUGAGAUAUAAAUUUAAAGUUUAACCUGCCCAUUGAAUUAUUUUAAAGGCUGCGGUAUAUUGACCGUACAAAGGUAGCAUAAUCAUUAGUUUCUUAAUUAGAAACUGGUAUGAAUGGUUGAAUGAAAUAUAAUCUGUUUUAUUAAAAAUAAUAGAAUUUUACUUUUUAAUAAAAAGGUUAAAAUGUAUUUAAAAGACGAGAAGACCCUAUAGAGUUUUAUAUAAGUUGAUAUUUAAGUUGUUUUAAAUUAAUAAGAAUUGAAUAAAACUAUAUAUUUUGUUGGGGCGAUGAUAAAAUAUAUUAAACUUUUAUUUUUAUUUACAUUAAUUUAUGAAUGCAUGAUCCAUUAAUAAUGAUUAUAAGAUUAAAUUACCUUAGGGAUAACAGCGUUAUUUUUUUUUAAGUUCAUAUUAAUAAAAAAGAUUGCGACCUCGAUGUUGGAUUAAGAUUAAUUUUAGGUGCAGAAGUUUAAAAUUUAAGUCUGUUCGACUUUUAAAUUCUU
rnacentral:rRNA from 1 species